rnacentral:rRNA from 1 species
GUAGGUGGCAAGCGUUGUCCGGAAUUAUUGGGCGUAAAGCGCGCGCAGGCGGUUCUUUAAGUCUGAUGUGAAAGCCCACGGCUCAACCGUGGAGGGUCAUUGGAAACUGGAGAACUUGAGUACAGAAGAGGAAAGCGGAAUUCCACGUGUAGCGGUGAAAUGCGUAGAGAUGUGGAGGAACACCAGUGGCGAAGGCGGCUUUCUGGCCUGUAACUGACGCUGAGGCGCGAAAGCGUGGGGAGCAAACAGGGAUUAGAUACCCUGGUAGUCCACGCCGUAAACGAUGAGUGCUAGGUGUUAGGGGGGUUUCCGCCCCCUUAGUGCUGCAGCUAACGCAUUAAGCACUCCGCCUGGGGAUACGGCCGCAAGGCUG